rnacentral:rRNA from 1 species
GUCUAUGGCCAUGCCACCCUGAACAAGCCUAAUGUCUGACUGAUUUCAGAAGCUAAGCAGGGAUGGGGCCUGGUUAGUACUUGGAUGGGAGACCACCUAGGAAGACCAGGUGCUGUAGGCA